UACGUAGGGGGCAAGCGUUGUCCGGAGUUACUGGGCGUAAAGCGCACGCAGGCGGUCUGUUAAGUUUGGAGUGACAGUUGGUGGCUUAACUGCCAAAGUGCUUCGAAAACUGAUCGACUUGAGGGCUUCAGAGGGACACGGAAUUCCGGGUGGAGUGGUGAAAUGCGUAGAGAUCCGGAGGAACACCGAAGGCGAAGGCAGUGUCCUGGGGAGUACCUGACGCUCAGGUGCGAAAGCCAGGGGAGCAAACAGG
rnacentral:rRNA from 1 species